ensembl:lncRNA
UCUCACUCAUGGCCGAUCAGUGUCGAUCAGUGUGUUCUUUCUGAUUAGCUCUUAAUUGAGAUCACCUGUCACGCACCCCUUUAUUAAAGGUGAACACAAUGGGUUUGGUUUACUUUUGCAUCGGCCUGUGUCAAUCGAGGUUGAGUUUAGUGAGGGUUGAAAGUUUUCGAUCUAGAUUGCAGAUCACUAUUGUCACUUUAUACAAACUGAAAGUAUGCGUUGUUGCGUGUUUGUUUUUGUGGGCAUUUGACUGAACAGCCCAGACAUAUAUUGCUACCAACAUGGCACUUCGAAACAGACCACCGCAGUGUUAGAUGACUGACAAGAUCUAUGGGGGGGCCCCCUUUGGGCCCCCCCAUACCAACUUAGUCUUCAAAGGAAUCUAGUGCCAUGGGACUCCAGUGUCUUCAAAACAUCCUCGGAAUACAUGGAAGCCACCACGGUCCAUGCAGUAAUCUGCUGCGUGGGUCGUAGUGGCUUCCAGAGCCAUCUUUCGGUCUUGGUCAGGAUUUGUUACAGUUGCCCUUCAAUGUAGCAGGCUACGGGUUUCUGAAGAAGCCUGCUUUACGUAGCAUUGGAGUACAAAUAUUGUGCAAAAUGCUCAUGUAAGUGCACUAGCACUAACCUGUAGAUUAGUUUAGUUUAACGUCAUUCCGUGCUGUCUCUGUCAAAUGUGUGGCUUACUUUAAGUCCACAAGGCCCUCUGGUAAACCACGUUCGAACACCCCUGGACAAGGUGAUUAGUCACUGGGUGUGUGCUAAAGUUUUGUUCCAUUUUUCACUAGUUGGUUAAGGUUUGGUAGAAUUAUUUGGAUGCUAGCGACGUGAUGGCGUAUGUACAAGAGCCUACCGUGGCCAGGCCACAGUUGCGACGGCCACGGCCAGAUGGCCUAGUGUGAGUGCAACCUUGAUUACAUUUGUAUACUGUUUACCAUUGGAUGUUUAUGCAAUUUGGCUUAAUUCAUCCGCAGGGUUAAAGGUAUUUGCUUUGGGCAUCUUUUGAUAUUUUUAGAAUCUAGCUCCAUUGCCGUUAGAAAUGGUGUCUUCUAGUACUGCAAAGUGCUUCCACAAGUUUAAAAAAUGGGCAGAAAAGGAACUGCCAACUAAAUCUAUUUAACAUGGGUAGAAAGUUUCCAUGGAAGCUCUUGGCUGCUGGUUCCCAACACAGCUCCACUGUUAGCUUGUGACCUUGCGUUUAACUUUUUUUGACUUUUGGUGACUUUCACAAAAGAGAAAUGAACUGGUUAAUACAAUAAACAAGACAUUUCAUGGUACCAUUUUUGAACUGUUUGUCGAUAUUGCAUUAAAUCCAUAUGCUUGAAACUUUUCAAUAAUGCAUAUCAACGAAACAAUGGAAUGAAAUAAAUAGUUCAAGCAAUUUGUGGGACUUGGCUGCUUUUACAUUAUUACUCAUUUUGGGGGUUAUUUCAGUCUCUCCAACCUGCAGGUCAUGCGAAGAAUCAUGUGAAUGGGAAUAUUCUAUAAAUGUCUUGAUAUCAUCUUUCGUCUCAACACUUCUGCUGCAGCCGCUGUUGAAGCGUAUGAGUCCUUUGAGACCCCGUUUGAUAAAAGGGGUUCUCAAAUGUUGACCCUCAGUCACCUAUUGCAUCACUUCCUUUAGGGCUUCGGCCUCCUAAUUGAUCAUUAUAGUAUAAUUGAAUGCCCUCUUUCACAUAUAUGACACCUCCACCGCUGGGACGUGGCAAC